CUUUCCUUCCACAGUGUCCACGGAAGGAAAUGUGUCGCAGCCAGACAGCAUUUCCCCAGUAUUUGAUUCCAGAGUACGUGAUGUCCAUAGGGGCUUUUCCCAGCAUGCAGUCCCUUUAGAUUUGGGUGUGACAACUAACCACAUCCUGCGUGUUGGACGUUUGGUUUGCAUCCCUGUAUCUUCCUGCUUUUGUGAAAGAUACAAUCUUACAUUGUCCUGGACAAAGGAAAAUUUGAUCACUGCCAGACUUUUCAUCUCUUCAUUGUGAUGGAAAAAUGGUUGCCUAAAAUAAACCCUUUGUUAUGCUGCUAAAACUGCUUUUG
rnacentral:lncRNA from 1 species